rnacentral:misc_RNA from 1 species
AAGGAGUCUAACACGUAUGCGAGUAGUAGGGUGGCAACCCCGGGUGCAAAAUGAAAGUGAACGUAGGUGGGAUCCGCUAGGAGUGCACCAUCGACCGAUCUGGAUCUUUUGUGAAGGAUUUGAGUAAGAGCAUAUAUGUUGGGACCCGAAAGAUGGUGAACUAUGCCUGAAUAGGGUGAAGCCAGAGGAAACUCUGGUGGAGGCUCGUAGCGAUUCUGACGUGCAAAUCGAUCGUCAAAUUUGGGUAUAGGGGCGAAAGACUAAUCGAACCAUCUAGUAGCUGGUUCCUGC